UACGGAGGGGGCUAGCGUUGUUCGGAAUUACUGGGCGUAAAGCGCACGUAGGCGGCUUUGUAAGUUAGAGGUGAAAGCCCGGGGCUCAACUCCGGAAUUGCCUUUAAGACUGCAUCGCUAGAAUUGUGGAGAGGUAAGUGGAAUUCCGAGUGUAGAGGUGAAAUUCGUAGAUAUCGGGAAGAACACCCGUGGCGAAGGCGGCUCUCUGGGACGGUACUGACGCUGAGACGCGAAAGCGUGGGGAGCGAACAGG
rnacentral:rRNA from 1 species